GGGAAACUGAGAUGCUCGUAAGUACAGUGAGUUUUGGGGGUUGGCAAGAUGGCUCCGGGGGUAAAGGCACUUGCCACGAAAACAUAAAGGUGGAAGGAAAGACUCCAUAAGGCUGUCCUCUGACCUUCACAAAGCAUGACACAGAUGUCUACAAAUACACACACAUAUGCACAUACACACACUCAUAUACCAUUUACAUACAUAGGCUCUCACACUCCUGCACACACACAUCAUACACAUUCGCGCAUGCACAUACUCAUAUAUCAC
rnacentral:lncRNA from 1 species